GAGGAUUUUAAUCAUUCUGUAAUUACAGGAGCCUAGAAUUUUGUAUUUGAGUCAAGAACCAAGUCUUCUGAUCAGCUUCUUGGAGGAGAGCACUUUGUGAGAGCUGUGUCACUGUGACAGAAUAUAUGAGAAGUCAGCUUAAUAAAAUGUCCUGGUGAACAGUCUUCUGUCUGUGUCAACAGUUGACUGUCCCUAAGAUAGAUGACUGUGAGGGCCUCAAGGCCUUCAACCUGGUAUGGAACUGAGACCAGAACGCUGAGCCCGAGACCUCCAUUCUUCACUGCUCCUCCCAGCCCACACCUGUUCCCAAGUGCAGCAAGGGAGGCCAUACCCUUUCCAUUGAUCUAGAGGCCUGGCGCCAGCUGGGUCUCAGCACGACACUGGGACCAAAAUGGAAGAAACACAUGGAAAAGGAAUUUCAGCCCAAGAAUCCCGCUGGCCCAGGAGUUGGCAGCCCUGUUGUUGACACAGCACACACCGUCAUGUAUGUCACUUCAGUUGCAUCUCAUGUCCCACACGAAGAAAACUCUUCAGCGCAGCAACAUUCCUGAGUCCUGGGGAGAAGCCACAGAGCUGGAUAGAAAGACCAAGAGCACCCGAAGCAGUGUAAAAAUCAUUAUCAUAAAUGUGAACCGAUAAAAGGGUUAUUUCACACCAGACUCCAAAAGUAUGCCAUUAUCUUCAGAACCCUUUAAAUAACUGAUCUUCUGUCCUCUAACCACCCGGGACCCUAGUGUCCCCACACGGCUGGAAUGUGAACGCUCAGCACACAGUUGAAAUUACUCGAGCAGUCUGUGAGGCGCAGUUCCGUGUAGCAGCUGACACAUGCUCUACAGUAGACUUGUCAUUAUAUAAUUCCAGGAAGUCAAAACCCAAAAUCAAAAACAGAACUUUGGCAUUUGGUGUAAGCUCUGAUUCUUGUCCUAAAGCACAGAGAAUACACAGAACCCCAAAUGGGGUACCACAGCUGGAAACAGAGGGAUCGGGGAAUAGACGCGUGUCCUCUCUUUUAAGGUUCCCUACAGACCCAGUGUGUGUGGCAUCAUGUCCAAAGACACACAGCUCAG
ensembl:lncRNA